GACGAACGCUGGCGGCGUGCCUAACACAUGCAAGUCGAACGGAGUCGGCCCCGCAAGGGACUGACUUAGUGGCGAACGGGUGAGUAACGCGUGAGCAACCUGCCUUUCAGUGGGGGACAACAGUUGGAAACGACUGCUAAUACCGCAUAAUGCAUUUUGACCGCAUGAUCGAGAUGCCAAAGAUUUAUUGCUGAAAGAUGGGCUCGCGUCUGAUUAGAUAGUUGGUGGGGUAACGGCCCACCAAGUCGAC
rnacentral:rRNA from 1 species